UGGAAGUAAAAGUCGUAACAAGGUCUCCGUUGGUGAACCAGCGGAGGGAUCAUUACCGAGUUUACAACUCCCAAACCCAAUGUGAACGUUACCAAACUGUUGCCUCGGCGGGAUCUCUGCCCCGGGUGCGUCGCAGCCCCGGACCAAGGCGCCCGCCGGAGGACCAACCUAAAACUCUUAUUGUAUACCCCCUCGCGGGUUUUUUUAUAAUCUGAGCCUUCUCGGCNCCUCUCGUAGGCGUUUCGAAAAUGAAUCAAAACUUUCAACAACGGAUCUCUUGGUUCUGGCAUCGAUGAAGAACGCAGCGAAAUGCGAUAAGUAAUGUGAAUUGCAGAAUUCAGUGAAUCAUCGAAUCUUUGAACGCACAUUGCGCCCGCCAGUAUUCNGGCGGGCAUGCCUGUCCGAGCGUCAUUUCAACCCUCGAACCCCUCCGGGGGGUCGGCGUUGGGGAUCGGCCCUCCCUUAGCGGGUGGCCGUCUCCGAAAUACAGUGGCGGUCUCGCCGCAGCCUCUCCUGCGCAGUAGUUUGCACACUCGCAUCGGGAGCGCGGCGCGUCCACAGCCGUUAAACACCCAACUUCUGAAAUGUUGACCUCGGAUCAGGUAGGAAUACCCGCUGAACUUAAGCAUAUCAAUAAAGCGGAGG
rnacentral:rRNA from 1 species